AAAGUUUUACAAAAUUUGCUUUAUAUACAUAUACAUAGAUUGCUAAUUUGUCCUCCAGAUGCAUCGUCACCAGCGCUGUGACGUCAUGUGCAAUGGGUCUAUAGUUAUGGUCUAUAGCCAAGAUGACGUACUUUCCGGAAGGAUGUAGUGUACGGCGAAUUGUAUGAAAAUUUCUUUAAAAUCUAAUGGUCAUUCUGUCUGAGCUCAAUUGAUAUUUUUUAAAAGAACGUGAAAGUUUAUUUAGCCCCCCCCCCAGCCUCGAUAUCCUCCCUCCCCCCCCCCACCCCUUCCUCUAAUAAACUCCCAGUGCAGAAC